rnacentral:tRNA from 1 species
GCCUGGGUGGCUCAGUCGGUUGAGCAUCCGACUUCAGCCCAGGUCACUAUCUUGCAGGUUGUGAGUUCGAGCCCCACGUCAGGCU